rnacentral:rRNA from 1 species
CCUCCGAGACCUGGCGGCGUGUCUUAUGACACGAUUCCGUAGGUUGGCAUACUGCAUGGGUGGAAGCACGGGUGAGAACUCGUGUGGACCGUGCAGCAACGAAAAUCAUGGUCUCAGUAGCAGCGAGAGUCGGGUGUGAACCCCGACGGCCUUACGCGCAAGGGUUCCUCGGCACUGUCAAUCAGCCGAGGGUUAGUCGAUCCUAAGUCUAUCCGUAAUUCGAAAUAGAUGAAAGGGAAACUGGUUAAUAUUCCAGUACCUUCUUGCACCAAACGUCGACGCUUUAGGAAACACCGAGCGGGGCCUUCGCCCCGUCGAAUCACCGAAAUUCGUGGAAGCCGUAACGGCACGAAGCGAACGAAUGGUGAGAUAGGGAAACUCGGCGGUACCUAGAGCCCGUGAAAAGACAAGCAAGAAGCUCGUACCGAGAUCCGACACAGGUGCGCUGGCAGAGCAAGCCAAGGCCUGUCGGGAUCAACCGACGUUAGGGAAUUCGGCAAGUUAGUCCCGUAAGUUCGCGAUAAGGGAUGCCUGCUCUUGACCGAGCAGGUCGCAGUGACUCGGACGCUCCGACUGUCUAGUAACAACAUAGGUGACCGCAAAUCCGCAAGGACUCGUACGGUCACUGAAUCCUGCCCAGUGCGGGUAUCUGAACACCCAUUACAAUGGGACGAAGGACCCGUCAACGGCGGGGGNCGCAAGGACUCGUACGGUCACUGAAUCCUGCCCAGUGCGGGUAUCUGAACACCCAUUACAAUGGGACGAAGGACCCGUCAACGGCGGGGGUAACUAUGACCCUCUUAAGGUAGCGUAGUACCUUGCCGCUUCAGUAGCGGCUUGCAUGAAUGGAUCAACGAGAGCGUCACUGUCCCAACGUUGGGCCCGGUGAACAGUACGUUCCAGUGCGGAGUCUGGAGACCCCCAAGGGGAAGCGAAGACCCUAUAGAGCUUUACUGCAGGCUGUCGCUGAGACGUGGUCGCUAAUGUGCAGCAUAGGUAGGAGCCAUUACACAGGUACCCGCGCCAGCGGGCCACCGAGGCAACAUUGAAAUACUACCCGUUAGUGACUGCGACUCUCACUCCUGGCGGAGGACACCGGUAGCCGGGCAGUUUGACUGGGGCGGUACGCGCUCGAAAAGAUAUCGAGCGCGCCCAAAGAUUUCCUCACGCGAGUCGGGAACUCGUGGAAGAGCGCAAGAGCAAACGGAAGUCUGACAGUGACAUUCCCAACGAGUGUCGCUGACGCGAAAGCGUGGUCUAGCGAACCUACGAGGUUCAUUCAUGGGACCCGUAGAUGACAGAAAAGCUACCUUAGGGAUAACAGAGUCGUCACCCGCAAGAGCACAUAUCGACCGGGUGGCUUGCUACCUCGAUGUCGGUUCCCUCCAUCCUGCCUGUGCAGAAGCAGGCAAGGGUGAGGUUGUUCGCCUAUUAAAGGAGGUCGUGAGCUGGGUUUAGACCGUCGUGAGACAGGUCGGCUGCUAUCUAUUGGGGGGGUUAAGGAACUUGACGUGAACGUUCGUAUAGUACGAGAGGAACUACGAAUGGGUGCCACUGGUGUACCGGUUGUCCGAGAGGGCAGAUGCCGGGCAGCUACGCACCACGGGGUAAGAGCUGAACGCAUCUAAGCUCGAAACCCACACGGAAAAGAAGUUCCACUGAGGNAGGGCAGAUGCCGGGCAGCUACGCACCACGGGGUAAGAGCUGAACGCAUCUAAGCUCGAAACCCACACGGAAAAGAAGUUCCACUGAGGUCACU